rnacentral:rRNA from 1 species
UACGAAGGGUGCAAGCGUUACUCGGAAUUACUGGGCGUAAAGCGUGCGUAGGUGGUCUGUUAAGUCUGAUGUGAAAGCCCUGGGCUCAACCUGGGAAUGGCAUUGGAUACUGGCAGGCUAGAGUGCGGUAGAGGAUGGCGGAAUUCCCGGUGUAGCAGUGAAAUGCGUAGAGAUCGGGAGGAACAUCUGUGGCGAAGGCGGCCAUCUGGACCAGCACUGACACUGAGGCACGAAAGCGUGGGGAGCGAACAGG